GACGAACGCUGGCGGCGUGCUUAACACAUGCAAGUCGAACGGUGAAGCGCCUUCCUUUUUGGUGGGUGUGGAUGAGUGGCGAACGGGUGAGUAACACGUGAGUAACCUGCCCCCUUCUUCUGGAUAACCGCAUGAAAGUGUGGCUAAUACGGGAUAUUCUGGGUCUGUCGCAUGAUGGGUCUGGGAAAGAUAUUGUUUCGGUGGGGGAUGGGCUCGCGGCCUAUCAGCUUGUUGGUGGGGUGAUGGCCUACCAAGGCGGUGACGGGUAGCCGGCCUGAGAGGGUGGACGGCCACACUGGGACUGAGCCACGGCCCAGACUCCUACGGGCGGCAGCAGGGGGGAAUAUUGCACAGUGGGCGCAAGCCUGAUGCAGCGCCGCCGCGUGAGGGAUGGAGGCCUUCGGGUUGUGAACCUCUUUCGCCAGUGAAGCAGGCCUGCCUCGUUUGUGGGUGGGUUGACGGUAGCUGGAGAAGAAGCGCCGGCUAACUACGUG
rnacentral:rRNA from 1 species